rnacentral:misc_RNA from 1 species
GAACGCACCUUGCGCCCCUUGGUUAUUCCGAAGGGCAUGCCUGUUUGAGUAUCAUGAACACCUCAACUCUUGUGGUUUCCCACAAUGAGCUUGGACCAUGGGGGUUUUUGUUGGCCUUCUGGUCAGCUCCUCUCAAAUGUAUCAGCUUACCGGUGUUUGGUGGCAUCAUGGGUGUGAUAACUAUCUACGCUCGUGGUCGUCCCCAAAUGACCUCCAGUGAUGGGGGUUCGCUGGAGCUUAUAAAUGUCUCUCCCUAGUGAAGACAGCCUUUGAACGUUCGAUCUCAAAUCAGGUAGGACUACCCGCUGAACUUAAG